AUUUUGAGGCUCUUCGACUGCCAACGAGUGUUAGCUUGCUUAAUCGAGCCAAGGUUCAUCGGCAGGCUCCGGAAGUGAUUGCGAAGUUGCAAACCGUUGAAUAAGGAGUGCACGCAAUGGCACCAAGUAAUGAACGAAGUAGAGAAGACCGGAUCCGCGAACGUGCCCAUGAAAUCUGGGAGCGCGAGGGUCGCAAGG
rnacentral:sRNA from 1 species